rnacentral:rRNA from 1 species
UGCAAGUCGAACGAGAAGCUCACUUCGGUGAGUGGAAAGUGGCGGACGGGUGAGUAAUAUGUAGAGAAUCUGCCCUAGAGAGAGGGACAACAGAGGGAAACUUCUGCUAAUACCUCAGUAUGCGCGUAGCUGAGAUGCUAUUCGUGAAAACUCCGGUGCUCUAGGAUGAGUCUGCAGUCUGAUUAGCUAGUUGGCGGUGUAAAUGGACCACCAAGGCGACGAUCAGUAGCUGGUUUGAGAGGAUGAUCAGCCACAAUGGGACUGAGACACGGCCCAUACUCCUACGGGAGGCAGCAGUAGGGAAUUUUGCGCAAUGGGCGAAAGCCUGACGCCAGCAACGCCGCGUGAUUGAAGAAGCCCUUCGGGGUGUAAAGAUCUGUCAGUGGGGACGAAACUUGACGGUACCCACAGAGGAAGCACCGGCUAACUCCGUGCCAGCAGCUGC